GGAAGAGUUGGUCUUACUAGCCGAAAACCAGCCCGCUUUGCGGUAACUGAUGAAUCACAGUAAACAGCCGAAUUGCAGUUUUGCAAUAUGUCAUUCAAGUUUCCGACCUAUCAGCUUCCGACGGUAGGGUAUUGGCCUACCGUGGCAUUGACGGGUAACGGGGAAUUGGGGUUUGAUUCCGGAGAGGGAGCCUGAGAAACGGCUACCACAUCUAAGGAAGGCAGCAGGCGCGCAAAUUACCCAAUCCUGACUCAGGGAGGUAGUGACAAGAAAUAACAACACGGGGCACAAUAGUGGCUUUGUGAUUGGAAUGAGAUUGGCAUAAACCCCUAAGCAAGUAUCAAUUGGAGGGCAAGUCUGGUGCCAGCAGCCGCGGUAACUCCAGCUCCAAUAGCGUAUAUUAAAGUUGUUGCAGUUAAAAAGCUCGUAGUUGAAUUUUUGCCGUGGUGACCAUGCGGUACUACUUUGUACCUAUUGAGUUGCUUCAGCAUUUUCCCUUGCACGGCACUUAAUUGUGCACGUUCAUGGGAAGCUUUACUUUGAGAAAAAUAUAGUGAUUCAAGCAUGCUACGCCUU
rnacentral:rRNA from 1 species